UACGAAGGGGGCUAGCGUUGCUCGGAAUCACUGGGCGUAAAGCGCACGUAGGCGGAUUGUUAAGUCAGGGGUGAAAUCCUGGAGCUCAACUCCAGAACUGCCUUUGAUACUGGCGAUCUUGAGUCCGGGAGAGGUGAGUGGAACUCCGAGUGUAGAGGUGAAAUUCGUAGAUAUUCGGAAGAACACCAGUGGCGAAGGCGGCUCACUGGCCCGGUACUGACGCUGAGGUGCGCAAGCGUGGGGAGCAAACAGG
rnacentral:rRNA from 1 species